rnacentral:rRNA from 1 species
GGUCCCUACGGGGGGCAGCAGUGGGGAAUAUUGCACAAUGGGGGGAACCCUGAUGCAGCGACGCCGCGUGAAGGAAGAAGUAUUUCGGUAUGUAAACUUCUAUCAGCAGGGAGGAAAAUGACGGUACCUGACUAAGAAGCCCCGGCUAACUACGUGCCAGCAGCCGCGGUAAUACGUAGGGGGCAAGCGUUAUCCGGAUUUACUGGGUGUAAAGGGAGCGUAGGCGGCAGUGCAAGUCAGAAGUGAAAGCCCAAGGCUCAACCAUGGGACUGCUUUUGAAACUGUACAGC